UGAGCAAUCUGCCCUUCUCAUCGGAAUAAGCGUUGGAAAUGACGUCUAAUGCCGAAUACGACCUCCUUUCGCAUGAUCGGAGGUGGAAAGCUCCGGCGGAGAAGGAUGAACUCGCGGCCUAUCAGCUAGUUGGUGUGGGUAAUGGCCCACCAAGGCGACGACGGGUAGCCGGCCUGAGAGGGUGACCGGCCACACUGGGACUGAGACACGGCCCAGACUCCUACGGGAGCAG
rnacentral:rRNA from 1 species